UACAGAGGUCUCAACCGUUGUUCGGAUUCAUUGGGCGUAAAGGGUGCGUAGGCGGUCGCGCAAGUCGGAUGUGAAAGCUCGGAGCUCAACUCCGAAAUGGCAUUGGAAACUACCUUGCUCGAGGGUUGGAGGGGGGACUGGAAUUCUCGGUGUAGCAGUGAAAUGCGUAGAUAUCGAGAGGAACACCAGUGGCGAAGGCGAGUCCCUGGACAACUCCUGACACUGAGGCACGAAAGCUAGGGGAGCAAACAGG
rnacentral:rRNA from 1 species